GCUACGGGAGGCUGCAGUGGGGAAUUUUGGACAAUGGGCGCAAGCCUGAUCCAGCCAUGCCGCGUGCAGGAUGAAGGCCCUCGGGUUGUAAACUGCUUUUGUACGGAACGAAAAGCCUCUCUCGAAUAAAGAGGGGUGAUGACGGUACCGUAAGAAUAAGCACCGGCUAACUACGUGCCAGCAGCCGCGGUAAUACGUAGGGUGCGAGCGUUAGUCGGACUUGCUGAGCGUAAAGCGUACGCCAGUGGUGAAAUCCCCGGGCUCAACCUGGGAACGGCCAUUGUGACUGCAAGGCUGGAGUACGGCAGAGGGGGAUGGAAUUCCGCGUGUAGCAGUGAAAUGCGUAGAUAUGCGGAGGAACACCGAUGGCGAAGGCAGUCCCCUGGGCCUGUACUGACGCUCAUGCACGAAAGCGUGGGGAGCAAACAGGAUUAGAUACCCCAGUAGUC
rnacentral:rRNA from 1 species